AUGCUUCUACUUUCUGUAUGGAGCUGGGAGCGUCUGCCUGUUGGAUGCCCGAAGAGCGUCAGGUUUAAUCCUUGGUAUGAAGAUGAACAUGACGAAUUACGGCGCCCCACUUGGGCUUACAAGUGGGAUGUGGUUUCCGAGAUGACGAACGAUGUCAAUCUCAUGUACCAGAAGUACGUUGCCGAGUUGGACACGAUUACACCUGAGCAGGUAACGAGGUCAUUACUUCAGUCAUUUCUCUUGUUUGCCAGAAAAAAAGUCACCAAUUUUGCAUCGUUGCCCUAUUUCAUAGGUGGAAUGGCAGCCAUAUGGCGCCGAUGA
rnacentral:rRNA from 1 species